CGUGCUGCGUGCUGGCUAUAGGUGAGGCCGAAUCUGCCCUGGGAGAUUUGUGAUAGCAGCUUAGUCGCUUCAACAUCCCCACAUGGAUCCAACUUUGGUGUGUCCUCCACAAGGUUUUCUUCCAAACUGUCUUUGCUGUGCUAACAGCAUGGAUCUGAGGGGGGCUUGAGCUGAUCCAAACAAACACUGGCCGGGUCAUGUCCAGAUCUUCAACCACCAACCAAAAAUCAAAUCCUAUCUUUGCCUUUUGGACCUCAACCAUUAACCCAAAGCAUUGGUAACUGACGGUUGGUUUGGGAAUGAGACUCAACAAUCGACCGUCUUUCUCCAGGAUUACUUUAAAAGUUACAUGGUGUGGCUAUAAUCUGACUGAGAGGAGAGUCACCCUCAUGAUGAAAGUGACAAGUGGCGCUGUGUAGUGGCAGAAGAGCAAGAGGAUCAUAGAGACGCACUGCUAUUCCCCCAGACUGACCACUUGGGUCACCCCC